GACAUUGCAAUGGUCGUAAUCCUGAUGUUUACAUUAGGAGUACCUACUCCAUUGAUGGCAAGAGACAGAGCUAAAAUGAUGCCCCUUGUUUGCCUUAUCGAUGCAACCCAUGUUCCAAUGCUUCAGAUGAACAUCUGUAGCAACCAUAAGUGUUGUCUCCCAGAUUCCAAAACAAGGAUCUGAUUUCCUAUUUCCAUUUCUCCCAAAUGCCAUUUUAUUCAGCAACGUUUACUAUUCUGCCAGCCUGCACACGGUUCCAACAGACUCCUGUGAUAAUUUCAGAUGAUGUCUCUGCAUUUUAAAACCUAAGCACUCCUAUGUCAAUCCUGAUCACAAAUUUCCACCACUCUCUGCUGAUCCUUUUUUCCCCCUGUGCAUCGGCAGACUUACAACCCCUUUCUGUAACUGCAUUUCAUGAUUUAUUUAUUUCUGGGUCAACGUGGAAGCCCGGGUCUUUACUUCCGUCUUUCUCGGCCUGCCGCAACGAUCUCUGCCGAAUGGACAUCGGCUUACCACAAGGACUAUACCUCCGGCAUCUAAUCUCCAUCUGGUGAACCUAAAUCCGCUUCUCAGCUAUGAUCCCCUUUUUUCCUUUCAACAAUUAUUACAUGGAUAUCCCUUCACCAGCCCUACCUCGUAC